rnacentral:rRNA from 1 species
UGGGGAAUUUUGGACAAUGGGCGAAAGCCUGAUCCAGCCAUACCGCGUGCAGGAUGAAGGCCUUCGGGUUGUAAACUGCUUUUGUACGGAACGAAAAAAUGUUCUCUAAUACAGGGGGGGAAUGACGGUACCGUAAGAAUAAGCACCGGCUAAAUACGUGCCAGCAGCCGCGGUAAUAUGUAGGGGGCGAGCGUUAUUCUGAAUUAUUGGGGGUAAAGCGUGCGCAGGCGGUUAUAUAAGACAGAUGUGAAAUCCCCGGGCUCAACCUGGGAACUGCAUUAGUGACUGUAUAGCUAGAGUACGGCAGAGGGGGAUGGAAUUCCGCGUGUAGCAGCGAAAUGCGGAGAUAUGCGGAGGAACA